rnacentral:rRNA from 1 species
GACGGAAGGUGCAAGCGUUGCUCGGAAUCACUGGGCGUAAAGGGUGCGUAGGCGGCUUGGUAAGUUGGGUGUGAAAGCCCCGGGCUCAGCCCGGGAAGGGCACUCAAAACUGCCGAGCUGGAGUGCCGGAGGGGAGAGUGGAAUUCCUGGUGUAGCGGUGAAAUGCGUAGAUAUCAGGAGGAAUACCGGUGGCGACAGCGACUCUCUGGACGGCAACUGACGCUGAGGCACGAAAGCGUGGGGAGCAAGCAGG